UGUGCCUUUUCUGUCAUCUCUAGUGUCACCAUCGUUGCAGCUCCAUUUCUGACACCAGUCAAGCAUAAAUAUUGCUCUUCCAUAGAAGUUACAUGUGCGUUCGAUGGUUUAUUUAGUAUAUACAUUUAGUGUCUUAGUGAGGUUUUGGGCACCACAGGCCACCAGAACAGUUUCAGUGGGCCUUGGCAUAGAUUCUCCAAUCCACUGAAGUGAAGAGAUGAAAACCCAAUGAUCCGUAUAGAGAGUGCUAGAACGACACUGGUCUACUAAGAUGUGGAAAAAAGUAAUACGGUCAGAUGAGCCAUCCCUCUCCAUAUUCUCAAGUGGUUGAGGUCAUCUGUGGCAUACACCAAGAGAAAAGGAGAGGCAUGGAUGCUGCACCCCAACAACAGGGGUCCGCUGGCUCUGGGGAGUUGGCAUGUUUUGGGUCGUCUUGUCCCCUUAGAGGAAGAAGCUACUGCAAAUCAAUAAAAGUUGCUCCGAGUGAUCACCUUUAUCCUACGAUGAAACAUUUCUCUCCUGAUGGGAGUGGUCUCUUCCAGGAUGACAAUGCCCCUAUUGCCCUCACUGAAUGGUUUGAUGAGUUCACAGUCACCAGAUCCCAACCCAGUUGAACACCUAUGGGAGAUUUUGGACUGAUGCGUUAGACAGUGCUCUCCGUCUACAUCAUCACAAUCAAAACACUUGGAAGAAUGGUGUUCACCCCUCCAGUUGAGUUCAGAGACUUGGAGAAUCAAUGUCAAGGAGCACUGAAGCUGUUCUAGCAACAUGUAGUGGCUCAACACCUUACUGAGACACUUUAAGCAGGUUUUUCCUUUGUAGCCUGUCUGUAUGUGAAAAUAGGAUUAAAUCAUAUACUAUACUAUGGUCCAUGAAGUAGUUAAAGUUGGAAAUGUAAGUAAGAAAUGUAACUGAAAGAGAGAGAGGCAUUUUGAUUUUGAUUAUAUGAUUGAUUUUUGAUUCAGUUUUCAAAUGCUUAUUUGUACUCAGAGCGGUUAUUUUGUGUCUGUUGACAUUAUUUCAGGGAAACUGAUGCUUCCUAAAUUUGAAAAUGGCACAGAGGUAUGACUCACGCUGGAGAAGAAAAGUCAAGAGCCAGCAAAGUACUUGCAAAAGAUGCAGAAGAAAGCUAGACACACAAGGAGUGGAGAAUGCAGACUACUUCCAGUGUCAGCACUGACUAUUUUGGUUGACUGUAUAAACAAAGAAUUGGCUGGAGAGGGCUUGGACAGCAGCACACUUAUCUGAAAGCUGAAAUGUGUAGGAAGGUGCUAUGUCCCUGUAUCCAUCCAGAAUGAAAGUGGAGGCCAGAUGACUAUUGCACUGAAGGAACACCUUGUCUUCCUGAAUAUACUACAUUUACACCGGUUAUGAGUCAGUUCUGAGAUUUUGGCAGGUUUGCUUUGAUACAGCUAACAUGCUGUCUUCAUUGUCUAAAUGGCUGCAGUACAAGAAAGUGAUCAUUUUCUGAAACUGAAAGACACUUGGAAUUAAUAAAAAAUAAAUAAAUAAAUAAAUA